ACGGACAUAUCGAUUCUCGUUCGAUCAUCGAAGUUAAGCAACGUUGAGCCUGGUCAGUACCUAGAUGACUGACUGCUUUGGAAUACCAGGUGCUGUAAU